GCUUAGUUGGUAAAGCACAAGGCUCUUAACCUUAUGGACGUGGGUUCAAGCCCCAU
rfam:Triticum aestivum genome assembly, contig: Triticum_aestivum_CS42_TGACv1_scaffold_486412_6AS